CCACGCCGUAAACGAUGUCUACUUGGAGGUUGUGGCCUUGAGCCGUGGCUUUCGGAGCUAACGCGUGUAAGUAGACCGCCUGGGGAGUACGGUCGCAGAGAUUAAAACUCAAAUGAAUUGACGGGGGCCCGCACAAGCGGUGGAGCAUGUGGUUUAAUUCGAUGCAACGCGAAGAACCUUACCUACUCUUGACAUCCACAGAACUUUCCAGAGAUGGAUUGGUGCCUUCGGGAACUCUGAGACAGGUGCUGCAUGGCUGUCGUCAGCUCGUGUUGUGAAAUGUUGGGUUAAGUCCCGCAACGAGCGCAACCCUUAUCCUUGUUUGCCAGCGAGUAAUGUCGGGAACUCCAGGGAGACUGCCGGUGAUAAACCGGAGGAAGGUGGGGACGACGUCAAGUCAUCAUGGCCCU
rnacentral:rRNA from 1 species